rnacentral:RNase_P_RNA from 1 species
GGGGGACGACGGGCAGCCGCGUUGACGUGCUUCGGCACGACGAUGAGGAAAGUCCGAACUCCGCAGGACAACACGCUUCCUAACGGGAAGGCGGCAACGUUGGCAACAACGAAGCCGACGGAAAGUGCAACAGAAAGUACACAACCCGAAGUUCGCUUCGGGAAAUGGUGAAACGGUGGGGUAAGAGCCCACCAGCGGCCGGGCGACCGGCCGGCUCGGCAAACCCCGUGUGGAGCAAGGUCAAGCAGGUUGGAGGACGCUUCGGCGUCGGCGUGUGGUCCGCACGCUUCCUUCGGGUCUCCCUCCGGGUGGAUCGCACGAGGCCGGCGGCAACGUCGGUCCCAGAUAAAUGGUUGCCUCCUUUGCUUCGGCAAAGAAGACAGAAUUCGGCUUAUAGGAGUCUUCCCGUG